rnacentral:rRNA from 1 species
GUGCCAGCAGCCGCGGUAAGACGAACCGUGCGAACGUUGUUCGGAUUCACUGGGCUUAAAGGGCGCGUAGGCGGUCGACCAAGUCUGGGGUGAAAUCUUUCGGCUCAACCGGAAAAGUGCCCCCGAUACUGGCCGGCUAGAGGGAGAUAGGGGCAUGCGGAACUUCCGGUGGAGCGGUGAAAUGCGUAGAUAUCGGAAGGAACGCCGGUGGCGAAAGCGGCGUGCUGGAUCUCUUCUGACGCUGAGGCGCGAAAGCCAGGGGAGCAAACGGGAUUAGAAACCCCGGUAGUCC